rnacentral:rRNA from 1 species
GAUGAACGCUGGCGGCGUGCCUAAUACAUGCAAGUCGAGCGAACGGACGAGAAGCUUGCUUCUCUGAUGUUAGCGGCGGACGGGUGAGCAACACGUGGAUAACCUACCUAUAAGACUGGGAUAACUUCGGGAAACCGUAGCUAAUACCGGAUAAUAUUUUGAACCGCAUGGUUCAAAAGUGAAAGACGGUCUUGCUGUCACUUAUAGAUGGAUCCGCGCUGCAUUAGCUAGUUGGUAAGGUAACGGCUUACCAAGGCAACGAUGCAUAGCCGACCUGAGAGGGUGAUCGGCCACACUGGAACUGAGACACGGUCCAGACUCCUACGGGAGGCAGCAGUAGGGAAUCUUCCGCAAUGGGCGAAAGCCUGACGGAGCAACGCCGCGUGAGUGAUGAAGGUCUUCGGAUCGUAAAACUCUGUUAUUAGGGAAGAACAUAUGUGUGAGUAACUGUGCACAUCUUGACGGUACCUAAUCAGAAAGCCACGGCUAACUACGUG